rnacentral:rRNA from 1 species
UACGGGGGGAGCAAGCGUUGUUCGGAUUUACUGGGCGUAAAGAGCUCGUAGGCGGCUUGUCACGUCGGAUGUGAAAGCCCGAGGCUUAACCUCGGGUCUGCACUCGAUACGGGCUAGCUAGAGUGUGGUAGGGGAGAUCGGAAUUCCUGGUGUAGCGGUGAAAUGCGCAGAUAUCAGGAGGAACACCGGUGGCGAAGGCGGAUCUCUGGGCCAUUACUGACGCUGAGGAGCGAAAGCGUGGGGAGCGAACAGG